UCCCUUGUGGCUCAGUGGGUAAAGAACCCACCUGCAAUGUGGGAUACCUGGGUUUGAUCCCUGCAUUGGGA
rnacentral:tRNA from 1 species